rnacentral:rRNA from 1 species
UACGUAGGGCGCAAGCGUUAUCCGGAAUUAUUGGGCGUAAAGAGCUCGUAGGCGGUUUGUCGCGUCUGCCGUGAAAGUCCGGGGCUCAACUCCGGAUCUGCGGUGGGUACGGGCAGACUAGAGUGAUGUAGGGGGAGACUGGAAUUCCUGGUGUAGCGGUGAAAUGCGCAGAUAUCAGGAGGAACACCGGUGGCGAAGGCGGUUCUCUGGGCAUUACCUGACGCUGAGGAGCGAAAGUGUGGGGGAGCGAACAGG